GGCAGCUUGUGGCGAGCUGUUGGGGAGUGACGACCCCACGGACCCGAGUGCUCCAGAGAGUCGGUCAGGGUCUCCGUCUCCGGCGUGUCUUCGUCGGUCGGAGUGGACCCCAAGGGGACCCGCAGGACUCUCAGCUCUGGCUUGCCUUCAUUGGCCGUCCAGAGGGGAGUCGUAAGAGCUAUAUGCUCCAGGGGUGGAAGUGAAAGAUGCAUAAGACGCGAGUUGGCACAGUGGCUGGUAUCAGCCACUGGGUAGAAAGCGGCGCACACCUCUCGAUACCCCUGAGCCGCUCACACCGGUGUUGCUCCUGGUCGUCUUCACGACGGCAGUUUCAGGGGCCCAUCUAGUCAGCGGCAAGUCACCGCCUGCCUCGAUAACGUGUACAGACAUUGUUAUGGCAGGUCAAUAGCCCAAUCUUUUGACCAGCCAAACUUCAAGACCAUAACCGGCACUCUUUUCCACUGGUUUUAUAAUAGCCCCUACGCCUGUUGGGACCGAUUUACGGGUAUCUAUUUGUACCCGUGAAUGGGUUCUAGCAGGUGUAUUACAUAACAGCAAACUUCUCCAAAGGGCCUCUACGUGUUGGAUCUGUAUCCCCACGCACGCCUAUCAAAUGACCGGGAUGUAUAUACCCGUGACUUUAUAUGAGAUACAAAUAAUAAUAAUAAAAUACUUUAUUGUGCACUACAAAGAAAAAUACAUGUUACAAACAAA